rnacentral:rRNA from 1 species
CCUACGGGGCGCAGCAGUGGGGAAUAUUGGGCAAUGGGCGCAAGCCUGACCCAGCAACGCCGCGUGAAGGAAGAAGGCUUUCGGGUUGUAAACUUCUUUUAAGAGGGAAGAGUAGAAGACGGUACCUCUUGAAUAAGCCACGGCUAACUACGUGCCAGCAGCCGCGGUAAUACGUAGGUGGCAAGCGUUGUCCGGAUUUACUGGGUGUAAAGGGCGUGUAGCCGGGCCGGCAAGUCAGAUGUGAAAUCCCAAGGCUCAACCUUGGAACUGCAUUUGAAACUGUUGGUCUUGAGUAUCGGAGAGGCAGGCGGAAUUCCUAGUGUAGCGGUGAAAUGCGUAGAUAUUAGAAGGAACACCAAUAGCGUAGGCAGGUUGCUGGGACGGUUCUGACACUAAGGCACGAAAGCGUAGGGAGCAAACGGGAUUAGAUACCCGGGUAGUC